rnacentral:rRNA from 1 species
CCUACGGGUGGCAGCAGUGAGGAAUAUUGGUCAAUGGACGCAAGUCUGAACCAGCCAUGCCGCGUGCAGGAAGACGGCCCUAUGAGUUGUAAACUGCUUUUGUACGAGGGUAAACGCAGAUACGCGUAUCUGUCUGAAAGUAUCGUACGAAUAAGGAUCGGCUAACUCCGUGCCAGCAGCCGCGGUAAUACGGAGGAUUCAAGCGUUAUCCGGAUUUAUUGGGUUUAAAGGGUGCGUAGGCGGUCGGAUAAGUUAGAUGUGAAAUCCGGGGGCUCAACUUCGGAAUUGCAUCUGAUACUGUUAGGCUAGAGAGUAGUAGAGGUAGGCGGAAUGUGUGGUGUAGCGGUGAAAUGCGUAGAGAUCAUGCAGAACACCGAUUGCGAAGGCAGCUUACUGGACUACUACUGACGUUGAGGCACGAAAGCGUGGGGAGCAAACAGGAUUAGAUACCCCAGUAGUC